AACGAACGCUGGCGGCAGGCUUAACACAUGCAAGUCGCAAGCCCCGCAAGGGGAGUGGCAGACGGGUGAGUAACGAGUGGGAACCUAACCAACACUACCGCAUAACGCAUGGAAACGUGUGCUAAUACCGUAUACGCACUACGGGGGAAAGAUUUAUCGGGGAAGGAUGAUCCCGCGUUGGAUUAGCUAGUUGGUGGGGUAAAGGCCUACCAAGGCGACGAUCCAUAGCUGGUCUGAGAGGAGAGUCAGCCACAGUGGGACUGAGACACGGCCCAAACUCCUACGGGAGGCAGCAGUGGGGAAUAUUGGACAAUGGGCGCAAGCCUGAUCCAGCCAUGCCGCGUGAGUGAUGAAGGCCCUAGGGUUGUAAAGCUCUUUCACCGGAGAAGAUAAUGACGGUAUCCGGAGAAGAAGCCCCGGCUAACUUCGUGCCAGCCGCCGCCGUAA
rnacentral:rRNA from 1 species